rnacentral:lncRNA from 10 species
GUAAUUACAUGGUUAAAGAAUUUGGAAACACCUAGAACUCCACUCAAGGUGACUGGGGUCAUUUGCAGGGAGGCAAGAAUAAUAUUUGACUUGAAUUUCAUAUGCAGGAACUUUCUGGAGAAACGCCAGGUGAAGAGAAUGGCAGAAGGGUGGUGUCCCAAGGAAAGGGCAGAAAACAGGUGGCUCCAGAUGCCUUUUAAGAGAAGGGCUGCCCCGGCCCCAGACUCACCGGCUGGUACAGUGACCACUCAGCAGCUCUGGACUGGCUCCCGUGUGGCCCUGCCAACAGGAUGGGGAGGGCCUGGCAUGUGUGAGUAGCCAUGCCCACCCACGUAUUUGCCUACUAUGCCUGCCAACUGGGAUGAAAAAGCUUUGGAUCUGGCUAAGUUUCUGUGAACCAGGGGUCUCCUCGUGGAGCUCAUCUCUCACUGAGGAAAGAAGGGCUCGGCUUUGAUAAAGGAAUGCUAGACUUUAGCAGCAGACGCAGGCGUUUCUGGUGUUUCAACUCCGUUCAGCAUGGGCCACCUUUGGGUCCAUGUUUCAGCCAACCCGCCCGUGAAGCCUGAAGCAGCUCCAUCUUGGGAGCAAAUCCUCCACCUCGGCUUCUGAUCAACCCCGGUUCCAGCUGAUCUACUGUUCUGUGUAAGAGCAAGUACUUGUCAUAAAUCCUGCCCUUACGGCAAAUCAACCUUGAUAAACUCCACGGUAAAUCCUGCCCUUAGGCAUAUUCCUACACCUUCCCUCUGGAGCACCAUACCUUUGCCCUAUGUAUAGAAGCCCUGGGUCCGGGGGGUGCUGGUGGGGACCUACCUGUCUUGUGGUUGCCCAAGACUACACUUCUGCCCGUAAGUUCCCCCAAUAAAAUCACCCUAUAACAAC